UACUAGAGUAGCACUCGCAUAUCAAUAAGCGGAGGAAAAGAAACUAACAAGGAUUCCCCUAGUAACGGCGAGUGAAGCGGGAAGAGCUCAAAUUUGAAAUCUUAAAGGGUUUCCCUUUACGAAUUGUAGUUUAAAGAAGUGUUUUCUGUUGAGGUUUUGGUAAAAGUUCUUUGGAAUAGGACAUCAUAGAGGGUGAGAAUCCCGUAUUUGACCUUUACUUUCAACUUUGUGAUACACUUUCAAAGAGUCGGAUUGUUUGGGAAUGCAGUCCAAAAUGGGUGGUAAAUUUCAUCUAAAGCUAAAUAUUGGCGAGAGACCGAUAGCGAACAAGUACCGUGAGGGAAAGAUGAAAAGAACUUUGAAAAGAGAGUUAAACAGUACGUGAAAUUGUCAAAAGGGAAGCGUUUGACACCAGUGUUGUUUUUCUGAAAAUCAAUUAAAGAACUGUUUAUGCUAAGUUGUUUAGACUUUAUCAGCUAACUGUUUAGUUUUGAGCUUUUCUUUAAUGCACUUUUCAGUUAACAAGUCAACAUCAAUUUCUUUUGCUGUAAAAAAGCUUGAGGAAGGUGGCUUGAGAUUCGUCUUAAGUGUUUAUAGCCUCUUGCCUAUGCAGUCGGAGAGAUUGAGGUCUGCAGCGUAGAUCCUUCGGGGCUAAAUGCAUUUGUGCUAAGUUAUAGCAUUUUAUAAGACAACUUGUUGACUAUGAUUUGUCUUGUAGCUUACUCGCUUAUGUUAUUUUACCUACGCUUAGGAUGUUGAUCUACAGAGCGAGAGU
rnacentral:rRNA from 1 species